GGGGAAUAUUGCACAAUGGGCGAAAGCCUGAUGCAGCAACGCCGCGUGAAGGAUGAAGGCCUUUGGGUCGUAAACUUCUGUCCUUGGGGAAGAAAAAGAUGACGGUACCCCCGGAGGAAGUCCCGGCUAACUACGUGCCAGCAGCCGCGGUAAUACGUAGGGGGCGAGCGUUAUCCGGAAUUAUUGGGCGUAAAGAGUACGUAGGUGGUUUUUUAAGCGCAGGGUUUAAGGCGAUGGCUCAACUGUCGUUCGCCCUGUGAACUGGAAGACUUGAGUACAGGAGAGGAAAGCGGAAUUCCUAGUGUAGCGGUGAAAUGCAUAGAUAUUAGGAGGAACACCAGCGGCGAAGGCGGCUUUCUGGACUGUAACUGACACUGAGGUACGAAAGCGUGGGGAGCAAAC
rnacentral:rRNA from 1 species